AUUGAACGCUGGCGGCAGGCCUAACACAUGCAAGUCGAACGGUAACAGGAAGAAGCUUGCUUCUUUGCUGACGAGUGGCGGACGGGUGAGUAAUGUCUGGGAAACUGCCUGAUGGAGGGGGAUAACUACUGGAAACGGUAGCUAAUACCGCAUAACGUCGCAAGACCAAAGAGGGGGACCUUCGGGCCUCUUGCCAUCGGAUGUGCCCAGAUGGGAUUAGCUAGUAGGUGGGGUAACGGCGCACCUAGGCGACGAUCCCUAGCUGGUCUGAGAGGAUGACCAGCCACACUGGAACUGAGACACGGUCCAGACUCCUACGGGAGGCAGCAGUGGGGAAUAUUGCACAAUGGGCGCAAGCCUGAUGCAGCCAUGCCGCGUGUAUGAAGAAGGCCUUCGGGUUGUAAAGUACUUUCAGCGGGGAGGAAGGGAGUAAAGUUAAUACCUUUGCUCAUUGACGUUACCCGCAGAAGAAGCACCGGCUAACUCCGUG
rnacentral:rRNA from 1 species